ensembl:snoRNA
UUCCUGUGAUGAGUUUGCCAUGCUAAUACUGAUGCGCCAGAAUAACAUCUUUCUGGGCGCAAAUGAGUUCAAUUCAACUUCUCACACUGGCAGUGUGAUCUGAGGAAA